rnacentral:rRNA from 1 species
UUUAAUUCGAUGAUACGCGAGGAACCUUACCUGGGCUAGAAUGUUACUGGACCGCCUGUGAAAGCAGGUUUCCCCGCAAGGGGCCGGUAAUAAGGUGCUGCAUGGCUGUCGUCAGCUCGUGCCGUGAGGUGUUGGGUUAAGUCCCGCAACGAGCGCAACCCCCAUCACUAGUUGCCAUCAGGUAACGCUGGGAACUCUAGUGAAACUGCCGUCGUAAGACGCGAGGAAGGAGGGGAUGAUGUCAAGUCAUCAUGGCCUUCAUGCCCAGGGCUACACACGUGCUACAAUGGAGCGUACAAAGGGCUGCCACUUGGCGAUAAGGCGCCAAUCCCAAAAAACGCCUCUCAGUUCAGAUUGGAGUCUGCAACUCGACUCCAUGAAGCUGGAAUCGCUAGUAAUCGUAUAUCAGCAAUGAUA